AUGAACGCUAGCUACAGGCUUAACACAUGCAAGUCGAGGGGCAGCAUGGUCUUAGCUUGCUAAGGCCGAUGGCGACCGGCGCACGGGUGAGUAACACGUAUCCAACCUGCCGUCUACUCUUGGACAGCCUUCUGAAAGGAAGAUUAAUACAAGAUGGCAUCAUGAGUCCGCAUGUUCACAUGAUUAAAGGUAUUCCGGUAGACGAUGGGGAUGCGUUCCAUUAGAUAGUAGGCGGGGUAACGGCCCACCUAGUCUUCGAUGGAUAGGGGUUCUGAGAGGAAGGUCCCCCACAUUGGAACUGAGACACGGUCCAAACUCCUACGGGAGGCAGCAGUGAGGAAUAUUGGUCAAUGGGCGAGAGCCUGAACCAGCCAAGUAGCGUGAAGGAUGACUGCCCUAUGGGUUGUAAACUUCUUUUAUAAAGGAAUAAAGUCGGGUAUGCAUACCCGUUUGCAUGUACUUUAUGAAUAAGGAUCGGCUAACUCCGUGCCAGCAGCCGCGGUAAUACGGAGGAUCCGAGCGUUAUCCGGAUUUAUUGGGUUUAAAGGGAGCGUAGAUGGAUGUUUAAGUCAGUUGUGAAAGUUUGCGGCUCAACCGUAAAAUUGCAGUUGAUACUGGAUAUCUCGAGUGCAGUUGAGGCAGGCGGAAUUCGUGGUGUAGCGGUGAAAUGCUUAGAUAUCACGAAGAACUCCGAUUGCGAAGGCAGCCUGCUAAGCUGCAACUGACAUUGAGGCUCGAAAGUGUGGGUAUCAAACAGGAUUAGAUACCCUGGUAGUCCACACGGUAAACGAUGAAUACUCGCUGUUUGCGAUAUACAGCAAGCGGCCAAGCGAAAGCGUUAAGUAUUCCACCUGGGGAGUACGCCGGCAACGGUGAAACUCAAAGGAAUUGACGGGGGCCCGCACAAGCGGAGGAACAUGUGGUUUAAUUCGAUGAUACGCGAGGAACCUUACCCGGGCUUAAAUUGCAGAUGAAUUACGGUGAAAGCCGUAAGCCGCAAGGCAUCUGUGAAGGUGCUGCAUGGUUGUCGUCAGCUCGUGCCGUGAGGUGUCGGCUUAAGUGCCAUAACGAGCGCAACCCUUGUUGUCAGUUACUAACAGGUUCCGCUGAGGACUCUGACAAGACUGCCAUCGUAAGAUGUGAGGAAGGUGGGGAUGACGUCAAAUCAGCACGGCCCUUACGUCCGGGGCUACACACGUGUUACAAUGGGGGGGUACAGAGGGCCGCUACCACGCGAGUGGAUGCCAAUCCCAAAAACCUCUCUCAGUUCGGACUGGAGUCUGCAACCCGACUCCACGAAGCUGGAUUCGCUAGUAAUCGCGCAUCAGCCACGGCGCGGUGAAUACGUUCCCGGGCCUUGUACACACCGCCCGUCAAGCCAUGGGAGCCGGGGGUACCUGAAGUGCGUAACCGCGAGGAGCGCCCUAGGGUAAAACUGGUGACUGGGGCU
rnacentral:rRNA from 1 species